rfam:Oryza glaberrima chromosome 3 Oglab03_unplaced035_5, whole genome shotgun sequence.
UCUAAGUUUCCAUAUCCAACGUUUGACCGUCCGUCUUAUUUAAAAAAAUAUGAAAAAAAUUAAAAAGACAACUCACGCAUAAAGUAUUAAUCAUGUUUUAUCAUCUAACAACAAUGAAAAUACUAAUUAUAAAAAAUUUCAUAUAAUACGGACAGUCAAACGUUGGACACGGAAACCCAGAGUUUGUCUUUUU